rnacentral:lncRNA from 1 species
GCCACAUAAAAAUUCCCCGCUGCUUCUUUUUGUUUAGCAGGGUUUGAGAGACCUUGCCUUCUCACGUUGGCCAAAUUGCAGAAAACUUUUUCUCAAAGCAGUUGUUUGUCAGUGUUUGGUGUUAACUGCACAUCAGAUACAUAAGUCUAAAUUUGGGGUUCUAUAAAAAUGACACUAUAUUAAAGAAUUACAGAAAUGUGUUUUCUGCCCUUUACAGGUUUACAAUUUAUGGUGAAUAACUUACAAGCAAAUAAUUAAAGAUCUACAAAACUCUUCGUGCUUUACAUUAACAGAAUGAACUGAUUUAUUUAAAAAUAUUUAUACUGAGCUACUACUAUAUGUCAACCCCUGUGGGAAUUCAGAGUUGAUUAAGGUAAAUUCAUUGAUGGAUUGAAUUGGGUUGUCCACAAAAAAAGGAAAAUCAAAGGCGAAGCUGGUAUCCAGAGAGGGUUCUGUGUGAAGAGAGAUUCCACGAGACAAAUAGAAGAACAAGGAGAGGCCAAAGGGAUAUUAGAGGUCUUUCAGAAGCAGGUCAGCAAACAUUG